CGCUAAUCCUGUUGCUCUAACGGGUAACGGGAGGUGUAGCGUCUUUUAGGCGAAUUUCCUUGAUGGCUGUCGACUUAAAUUCUCCUUGACUGGGGUUCCAGAGAAGGUGAAAGGCCUGUUCAGUCGAUGGCCGUCUUGGAUUCCGUUCUACUUGGAGUCGGGUUGUUUGGGAACGCAGCCCAAAUUGGGUGGUAAACUUCAUCUAAGGCUAAAUACGGCCACGAAACCGAUAGCAAACAAGUACCGUGAGGGAAAGUUGAAAAGUACUUUGAAGAGAGAGUUCAAGAGGACGUGAAACCGGUAGGAUGGAAACGGAUAGAGCCAACGAACAAGCCCGUAUUCAGCUAGUCGGCUGCGUGCGGCAUGCCUGUGUGCUCGUUCAGGGUGCAUGGGUGUGUGCGGUAUGCGGUCGGCUAGUGCAUUUGCGGGUGAUGUGCGCUGAGGCGUGUGGCGGAGUCCUGCAAACUGUCUGGAGAGGCCUCCGCCUUCGGGCUUGAAACCUACAGGCGGGGAGUCGGGUUUCUGCUGCAUGUAGACGAAGCGACUAGGUGCAAACGCGCUGUCGUGCUGCCGGGCUAGCUGCUUGGCCGGUCGCAUGCGACUAGGUCUUGUUGGUUGGUCUUGGUGGUGCGGCAGUGCCCUGGUCGACCCUCGGUGUAAAAGUUGGUCAUCUCUCCGACCCGUCUUGAAACACGGACCAAGGAGUCUAGCGUAUGCGCGAGUCAUUGGGUGGAAAACCCAUAGGCGAAAUGAAAGUGAAGGUCUCUUCAUGAGGCUGAUAUGCGAUCCGUUGCACUACGGUGUACGCGGAGCAGCAUAGCCCCGUCUCGACUGCUUGCAGUGGGGCGGAGGUAGAGCGUAUACGCUGGUACCCGAAAGAUGGUGAACUAUGCCUGAGCAGGAUGAAGCCAGAGGAAACUCUGGUGGAGGUCCGAAGCGCUUCUGACGUGCAAAUCGAUCGUCUAUAUGGGAUAGCUUGCGAG
rnacentral:rRNA from 1 species